AGAGUUUGAUCCUGGCUCAGGACGAACGCUGGCGGCACGCUUAACACAUGCAAGUCGAACGAGAGAAGAGGAGCUUGCUUUUCUGAUCUAGUGGCGGACGGGUGAGUAACACGUGAGCAAUCUGCCUUUCAGAGGGGGAUACCGAUUGGAAACGAUCGUUAAUACCGCAUAACAUAAUUGAACCGCAUGAUUUGAUUAUCAAAGAUUUAUCGCUGAAAGAUGAGCUCGCGUCUGAUUAGCUAGUUGGUAAGGUAACGGCUUACCAAGGCGACGAUCAGUAGCCGGACUGAGAGGUUGAUCGGCCACAUUGGGACUGAGACACGGCCCAGACUCCUACGGGAGGCAGCAGUGGGGAAUAUUGCACAAUGGAGGAAACUCUGAUGCAGCGAUGCCGCGUGAGGGAAGAAGGUUUUAGGAUUGUAAACCUCUGUCUUCAGGGACGAAAAAAGACGGUACCUGAGGAGGAAGCUCCGGCUAACUACGUGCCAGCAGCCGCGGUAAUACGUAGGGAGCGAGCGUUGUCCGGAAUUACUGGGUGUAAAGGGAGCGUAGGCGGGAUCGCAAGUCAGAUGUGAAAACUAUGGGCUUAACCCAUAAACUGCAUUUGAAACUGUGGUUCUUGAGUGAAGUAGAGGUAAGCGGAAUUCCUAGUGUAGCGGUGAAAUGCGUAGAUAUUAGGAGGAACAUCAGUGGCGAAGGCGGCUUACUGGGCUUUAACUGACGCUGAGGCUCGAAAGCGUGGGGAGCAAACAGGAUUAGAUACCCUGGUAGUCCACGCCGUAAACGAUGAUUACUAGGUGUGGGGGGACUGACCCCUUCCGUGCCGCAGCAAACGCAAUAAGUAAUCCACCUGGGGAGUACGACCGCAAGGUUGAAACUCAAAGGAAUUGACGGGGGCCCGCACAAGCAGUGGAGUAUGUGGAUUAAUUCGAAGCAACGCGAAGAACCUUACCAGGUCUUGACAUCGUAUGCAUAGCUCAGAGAUGAGUGAAAUCUCUUCGGAGACAUAUAGACAGGUGGUGCAUGGUUGUCGUCAGCUCGUGUCGUGAGAUGUUGGGUUAAGUCCCGCAACGAGCGCAACCCUUACUGUUAGUUGCUACGCAAGAGCACUCUAGCAGGACUGCCGUUGACAAAACGGAGGAAGGUGGGGAUGACGUCAAAUCAUCAUGCCCCUUAUGACCUGGGCCUCACACGUACUACAAUGGCUGUCAACAGAGGGAAGCAAAGCCGCGAGGUGGAGCGAACCCCUAAAAGCAGUCUUAGUUCGGAUUGUAGGCUGCAACCCGCCUACAUGAAGUCGGAAUUGCUAGUAAUCGCAGAUCAGCAUGCUGCGGUGAAUACGUUCCCGGGCCUUGUACACACCGCCCGUCACGCCAUGGGAGUCGGUAACACCCGAAGCCUGUAGUCUAACCGCAAGGAGGACGCAGUCGAAGGUGGGAUUGAUGACUGGGGUCAAG
rnacentral:rRNA from 1 species